rnacentral:tRNA from 1 species
AAGAGAAUAGCUUAAAUAGAAGAGCAUUAGCUUGUCAUGCUAAAGGUGGAGUUUCCUUCUCUUA